CCUACGGGAGGCAGCAGUGAGGAAUAUUGGUCAAUGGCCGGAAGGCUGAACCAGCCAUGCCGCGUGAAGGUCAGUGCCCUAUGGGCGUUAAACUUCUUUUGUGCGGGAGCAAUAAUGGUCACGUGUGGCCAGACGAGAGUACCGUACGAAUAAGCAUCGGCUAACUCCGUGCCAGCAGCCGCGGUAAUACGGGGGAUGCAAGCGUUAUCCGGAUUUAUUGGGUUUAAAGGGUGCGUAGGAUGGGAGGUAAGUCAGCGGUGAAAUGCCCCCGCUCAACGGGGUGAAGUGCCAUUGAUACUGCCUUGCUGGAAUGCGGAUGCCGUGGGAGGAAUGUGUGGUGUAGCGGUGAAAGGCAUAGAGAUCACACAGAACACCGAUUGCGAAGGCAUCUCACGAAUCCGCGAUUGACGCUGAUGCACGAAAGCGUGGGUAUCAAACAGGAUUAGAUACCCCUGUAGUC
rnacentral:rRNA from 1 species